rnacentral:lncRNA from 1 species
UGCGGCGUCGUGGAUUCGGUGUGAUCGAAGCCAGUUCGUGGAUUCGGAUCGAAAGCUUCGUGGAUUCGAAGUGGUGGCAUUUCGUGGAUUCGGAACGAGGCGUUCGUGGAUUCGGACGUGUGCGAGGAGUUCGUGGAUUCGAAUGUGAGGGCGUGGACAACCCGGAGAAUUGCGCGAGAUUCAUAGGAAGUUAAGAGAUGUCGAGUCCGUGGAGUCGGUAAUCACCUUGUAAUCUUUUCUUUUAGUGAAUUAUUUUUUCGCGUGUUGGUCACGUGGAUUUUUUACUCCAAGAUGGAGUUUUCCCACGUAAAUCUCGAUGUGAUUUUUAUUUUUCGUAUUUACUUUAUUGUAUCGAGAUUUAUGAUUUUUGGCCGUUCACCUAUUC